rnacentral:lncRNA from 1 species
AGAGAAACUCUAGAGAAGAGAAGAAGAAAAAGAUCAAAAAAAGAGAUUAAGUGUUGAUUGCAAUCCAAACUUCGUUCAGUUUCAACAGGUUGAAUUUUGAAGAAUAAAAAUUCAGAUUAAAGAGGGCUGUUCCAAACUGAUCUCGAGUGGAUACUCGUAGAGGUCGAACACUUGUGCGGCUAAGAAAGGACCUCUUCUCUUCC